rnacentral:rRNA from 1 species
AAGACGGUCUUGCUGUCACUUAUAGAUGGAUCCGCGCUGCAUUAGCUAGUUGGUAAGGUAACGGCUUACCAAGGCAACGAUGCAUAGCCGACCUGAGAGGGUGAUCGGCCACACUGGAACUGAGACACGGUCCAGACUCCUACGGGAGGCAGCAGUAGGGAAUCUUCCGCAAUGGGCGAAAGCCUGACGGAGCAACGCCGCGUGAGUGAUGAAGGUCUUCGGAUCGUAAAACUCUGUUAUUAGGGAAGAACAUAUGUGUAAGUAACUGUGCACAUCUUGACGGUACCUAAUCAGAAAGCCACGGCUAACUACGUGCCAGCAGCCGCGGUAAUACGUAGGUGGCAAGCGUUAUCCGGAAUUAUUGGGCGUAAAGCGCGCGUAGGCGGUUUUUUAAGUCUGAUGUGAAAGCCCACGGCUCAACCGUGGAGGGUCAUUGGAAACUGGAAAACUUGAGUGCAGAAGAGGAAAGUGGAAUUCCAUGUGUAGCGGUGAAAUGCGCAGAGAUAUGGAGGAACACCAGUGGCGAAGGCGACUUUCUGGUCUGUAACUGACGCUGAUGUGCGAAAGCGUGGGGAUCAAACAGGAUUAGAUACCCUGGUAGUCCACGCCGUAAACGAUGAGUGCUAAGUGUUAGGGGGUUUCCGCCCCUUAGUGCUGCAGCUAACGCAUUAAGCACUCCGCCUGGGGAGUACGACCGCAAGGUUGAAACUCAAAGGAAUUGACGGGGACCCGCACAAGCGGUGGAGCAUGUGGUUUAAUUCGAAGCAACGCGAAGAACCUUACCAAAUCUUGACAUCCUUUGACAACUCUAGAGAUAGAGCCUUCCCCUUCGGGGGACAAAGUGACAGGUGGUGCAUGGUUGUCGUCAGCUCGUGUCGUGAGAUGUUGGGUUAAGUCCCGCAACGAGCGCAACCCUUAAGCUUAGUUGCCAUCAUUAAGUUGGGCACUCUAAGUUGACUGCCGGUGACAAACCGGAGGAAGGUGGGGAUGACGUCAAAUCAUCAUGCCCCUUAUGAUUUGGGCUACACACGUGCUACAAUGGACAAUACAAAGGGCAGCGAAACCGCGAGGUCAAGCAAAUCCCAUAAAGUUGUUCUCAGUUCGGAUUGUAGUCUGCAACUCGACUACAUGAAGCUGGAAUCGCUAGUAAUCGUAGAUCAGCAUGCUACGGUGAAUACGUUCCCGGGUCUUGUACACACCGCCCGUCACACCACGAGAGUUUGUAACACCCGAAGCCGGUGGAGUAACCUUUUAGGAGCUAGCCGU